rnacentral:rRNA from 1 species
GGGUUCUACCGUUGGUCGGGCUAUUGUCUGUACUGGUGUGUAGAAUUUCUACCUUCUGGGGAACCAUCAUGUUAUUAAUUUAGCGUGGUGGGAAACCAGAACCUUUACCUUGAAAAAAUUAGAGUGUUCAAAGCAGGCUUACGUCUGAAUACAUUAGCAUGGAAUAAUAGAAUAGGACUU